rnacentral:rRNA from 1 species
CCUACGGGUGGCAGCAGUGAGGAAUAUUGGUCAAUGGCCGCAAGCCUGAACCAGCCAAGCCGCGUGAAGGAUGAAUGCGCUACGGGUUGCAGACUUCUUUUAUAUGGGAAUAAAGUGCAGUACGUAUACUGCUUUGCAGGUACCUGAUGAAUAAGGAUCGGCUAACUCCGUGCCAGCAGCCGCGGUAAUACGGAGGAUCCGAGCGUUAUCCGGAUUUAUUGGGUUUAAAGGGGGCGGAGGCGGGUCGUUAAGCCAGUUGUGAAAGUUUGCGGCUCAACCGUAAAAUUGCAGUUGAUACUGGCAUCCUUGAGUACAGUAGAGGUAUGCGGAAUGCGUGGUGUAGCGGUGAAAUGCUUAGAUAUCGCGAAGAACUCCGAUUGCGAAGGCAGCCUGCUGGACUGUAACUGACACUGAUGCUCGAAAGUGUGGGUAUCAAACAGGAUUAGAUACCCCAGUAGUC